rnacentral:rRNA from 1 species
GGGUGACAGGUGGUGCAUGGUUGUCGUCAGCUCGUGUCGUGAGAUGUUCGGGUUAAGUCCCGCAACGAGCGCAACCCUCGACCUUAGUUGCCAGCAUUCAGUUGGGCACUCUAAGGUGACUGCCGGCUAAAAGUCGGAGGAAGGUGGGAUGACGUCAAAUCAUCAUGCCCCUUAUGACCUGGGCUACACACGUGCUACGAUGGGCGGUACAAAGGGUCGCGAACCCGCGAGGGGGAGCCAAUCCCAAAAAGCCGCUCUCAGUUCGGAUUGCAGGCUGCAACUCGCCUGCAUGAAGCCGGAAUCGCUAGUAAUCGCGGAUCAGCAUGCCGCGGUGAAUACGUUCCCGGGCCUU